UGAGGUGCAAGGUGAGGAAACUUAACAAAACAAAAAGGAAAAACUAGGGGUUUAGGCUCAGAGUCCGUGUUUCUACCCUCGUAACUGUGUUCAAUCUUUUAAUUAUGAGGUUUUUCUUUUGGGCACCGUUCUUGUUGGGAUUCAUUGGCUCUUAUUUUCUUCUCUUCUUUUUAUUGCUCUUUUGAGCACGCUUUUUGCCAACCUCAAUUCUUCUAGAUAAGUGAUUCAUGAUACUUCUCAUAAUUUUUCAUUUCUCUUUUUUUU
rnacentral:lncRNA from 1 species